ACAUGCAAGUCGAACGAAGUAGCAAUACUUAGUGGCAGACGGGUGAGUAUAAUGUAGGUAUCUGCCCUUUGGCCUGGAAUAACACGAGGAAACUUGUGCUAAUACCGGAUAAGUCUUUACGGAGAAAGCUUUAUGCACCAUUGGAUGAGCCUGCACUUGAUUAGUUUGUUGGUGGGGUAAUGGCCUACCAAGACUGUGAUCAAUAGCUGAUUUGAGAGGAUGAUCAGCCACAUUGGGACUGAGACACGGCCCAAACUCCUACGGGAGGCAGCAGUGGGGAAUCUUGCACAAUGGAGGAAACUCUGAUGCAGCGAUGCCGCGUGAGUGAAGAAGGCCUUUGGGUUGUAAAGCUCUUUCGUCGGGGAAGAAAAUGACUGUACCCGAAUAAGAAGGUCCGGCUAACUUCGUGCCAGCAGCCGCGGUAAUACGAAGGGACCUAGCGUAGUUCGGAAUUACUGGGCUUAAAGAGUUCGUAGGUGGUUGAAAAAGUUGGUGGUGAAAUCCCAGAGCUUAACUCUGGAACUGCCAUCAAAACUUUUCAGCUAGAGUAUGAUAGAGGAAAGCAGAAUUUCUAGUGUAGAGGUGAAAUUCGUAGAUAUUAGAAAGAAUACCAAUUGCGAAGGCAGCUUUCUGGAUCAUUACUGACACUGAGGAACGAAAGCAUGGGUAGCGAAGAGGAUUAGAUACCCUCGUAGUCCAUGCCGUAAACGAUGUGUGUUAGACGUUGGAAAUUUAUUUUCAGUGUCGCAGCGAAAGCGAUAAACACACCGCCUGGGGAGUACGACCG
rnacentral:rRNA from 1 species